ensembl:misc_RNA 7SK 7SK RNA
GGAUGUGAGGGUGAUCUAGCUGCGACACCUGUCACACCAUUGAUCACUAGGGUUGAUUCAGCUGAUCUGGCUGGCUGUCCCCUUCCUCCCUCACCACUCCAUGUGCAUCCCUCUGGAAGUUGUGAGCUGGGUGGAAGAGGACAGCCUUCCCAGAUAGACACUGACUGGGUCUUCAGUCAAGGGUAUAAGAGUAUCUGCGCUCCCCUGCUAGAACCUCCAAACAAGCUCUCAAAAAUAAAGAUUUAAAAAUAUAUGUAGAGGCAGGCAAAAUAGCUGACUUGGGUAGUGUGCUGCUUU